AAAUGAAUUGACGGGGGCUCGCACAAGCGGUGGAGCGCGUGGCUUAAUUCGUAGCUAAGCGAAGAACCUUACCAGGGUUAGAAAUCCUACUGCACGCCUCGUGAAAGCGAGGAAUCUUUCGAAGGUGUAGGACAGGUGAUGCAUGGCUGUCGUCAGUUCGUGAUUUGAAUUGUUCCCUUCAGUGGGGUAACGAACGCAACCCUCGUUGUCUGUUACACGUAGUCAGACGAGACUGCCCCCUCACGGGGGAGGAAGGUGAGGAUGACGCCAAGUCCGCAUGUCCCUUUGACAUCCUGGGCUGCACGCGCGCUACAAUCGCCAUUACAGAGGGCCGCAAUAUCGUAAGAUGGAGCAAAUCCCAAAAGAUGGCGUCAGUUCGGAUUGAGGUCUGCAACUCGACCUCAUGAAGCUGGAAUCGCUAGUAAUCGCGGGUCAGAACACCGCGGUGAAUACGUUCUCGAGCCUUGUACACACCGCCCGU
rnacentral:rRNA from 1 species